GUUGAUCCCAUCACAUCCACUGCAAAGCUGCUGCCUUGAAGUUCAAUUUUCUACAGCAUCACAAUGUGGCAAAUACUCCUGACAGGGUUCUUCGAUCACUAACCACAGUUGGACCUUUGGCAGCCAGUUCAACCUAGGCCGAGGAUAGGCAAGCAUGAGUGUAACCCCCUGACACCAUACAUCACAGAGCACAUAACCCCCUCAAGGACAGCAUGCUGCUACCUGAGGCACUAUCUUAAGGACUCAUGAGCCCUCCACUGAAGGAAAACAAUAACCACUAUAAUGUA